GGUGCAAGUGAUGCUUUAACGCGAUCAAAGUAUGAAUGCUGUGAUUACAGAUUUUUUACAACUGAUGCACC